rnacentral:rRNA from 1 species
GGAGUCUGGUCCGUGUCUCAGUACCAGUGUGGGGGAUAAGCCUCUCAGCUCCCCUAGACAUCGUCGCCUUGGUGGGCCGUUACCCCGCCAACAAGCUAAUCAGACGCAUCCCCAUCCUAUAGCGCUAAAGCUUUGCUUCUCAUCAGAGGCCAUCAAAGAAGAACAUAGAGCAUUAAUCCGACUUUCGCCGGGCUAUUCUCUACUAUAGGGAAGGUUGGAUACGCGUUAC